AGUGAACGCUGGCGGUAGGCCUAACACAUGCAAGUCGGACGGCAGCACAGUAAGAGCUUGCUCUUACGGGUGGCGAGUGGCGGACGGGUGAGGAAUACAUCGGAAUCUACUUUUUCGUGGGGGAUAACGUAGGGAAACUUACGCUAAUACCGCAUACGACCUACGGGUGAAAGCAGGGGAUCUUCGGACCUUGCGCGAUUGAAUGAGCCGAUGUCGGAUUAGCUAGUUGGCGGGGUAAAGGCCCACCAAGGCGACGAUCCGUAGCUGGUCUGAGAGGAUGAUCCGCCACACUGGAACUGAGACACGGUCCAGACCCCUACGGGAGGCAGCAGUGGGGAAUUUUGGACAAUGGGCGAAAGCCUGAUCCAGCCAACCCGCGUGGGUGAAGAAGGCCUUCGGGUUUUAAAGCCCUUUUUUUGGGAAAAAAAAGCAGCAGGUUAAUACCCCGCUGUUCUGACGGUACCCAAAGAAUAAGCACCGGCUAACUUCGU
rnacentral:rRNA from 1 species